CAGUCGCCGCGGUAAUACGAAGGGUGCAAGCGUUAAUCGGAAUUACUGGGCGUAAAGCGUGCGUAGGCGGUGAGUUAAGUCUGCUGUGAAAUCCCCGGGCUCAACCUGGGAAUGGCAGUGGAUACUGGCUCGCUAGAGUGUGUCAGAGGAUGGUGGAAUUCCCGGUGUAGCGGUGAAAUGCGUAGAGAUCGGAAGGAACAUCUGUGGCGAAGGCGACUAUCUGGGCCAACACUGACACUGAGGCACGAAAGCGUGGGGAGCAAACAGGAUUAGAUACCCGAGUAGUCCCUGUCUCUUAUAC
rnacentral:rRNA from 1 species